GUUCUCGCCUCAGCAGUGUGGAUACUAAAAUUGGAAAGAUAAAGAGAAGGUUGUCAUGGCCUCUGCACAGGAUGACACACAAAUUCAAGAAGCAUCCCACUUUUUU
ensembl:snRNA U6 U6 spliceosomal RNA